CCCGGGUCCAGAUAAAGCUGUGGCAAGAACGAAAUCUCAGUGCUACCCGUGAGCAAGGAGAGAGAUGGAGAGAGAGAGAGAGAGAAGAGAAAGAAAAAGGGAAUGCUAAUUGUGCCAGGCACGCUGACAGAUUUGACAGAAAGUGUCUUCAUUGAGAAACUGCGAUCUGAAGUUCCCCCUUGUUCCUUCAGAAACCGGAGGAGAGAGGCGUGGGGGAGCCUGACAGGAAGUGCGGAUUCUGAGACUUCAAAUGCACGCAUUAGAAAAAACAAGCAACACCUGCAAACAGCACUCCUGCAAAGGCACUUCCUGGACAGUUGGAGGUAACACAGCCAUCUCCGUGCAGCGGGAAACCCGAGAGACCAAACUUUUAGCAGCCUUAAUAUUUGGAUAAUCCUGCCUCAUGAUUUCAGGGUUGAUCCUGGAACGCUUUACCAGCUCCUCCACGUUGAUAGGUACCUGGACCCUUGGGUGACCCCCUUUAGAAGGGGGCGAUGGCAGGACGCUGGCAUGUAAACAAACAUUUGAUUGCUGCCUGGGCAAAAUGUAAACAAAAGCCAAGCACCUCACCCAGGAGAUGGGGCCGGCAGUGUCUCGUUUGACAGAACUUGCCAUUCGGCAUCUCCUGGAUUUGCCUCCUCCUCCACAUCCUGGAAAUUCUAGAGGGAAAAAUCACGCCUGAGUGACUGCUGUCUGUGGCUUGUGGAAUCUUAAAUAGAAUGAAACAGGCCUCCGACAAUCAAUAUUACUGACAUAUUAAUCUCUGCAAAUAAACUGUUGUUUGCGUCAA